UAGGACCCCAGAGCUGUACCAUUAUGCCCUGGUCAAAACUCCGAUCAGUAUGAAUUUAUUAUCCAGUUUGCCUCCCCCUCAAUGUGGUGAGGAAAUGCAACAGCCUUUGCCCCUUGAGCUAAGAUUUCCAAGCACUUCAUUCAAACUCACAGGUUCAGAUAAAGCAAUAAGAAGUUUAUUAACUACAAAAGAUAGAUUAUAAGGGAUAGCAAACAGAUCAAAACAAAUUAUUUAGGAAAUAAACAAAAA